rnacentral:lncRNA from 1 species
GUCGGUGUAGAGAAAUACCACAGAUGGCAUCAUUUUUUAAAACACCUCUGCCAAAAUCUUUUAAAACAAAACUUGCCAUUUCUGUUUGCAUUGAUGCUCCUUUCCUGCUAUUGAUUUUUGCUCUUUACCAUUACUGAUGCGAGGAACAGGCAGCGGCCAUUGUCGCGCCAGCACAUGGAUGGAAGGAAAUAAUUUUCAGAAAUCCUGUUAAUGGUGGGGGGUCCUUGUUUUGUUUGGGGUUUGAUUUUUGUUUUGCUCUACUCUUACUGCUCUAUUUAACAUCAAAAUAACAGGGCUGUUAGACUGGCUACCAAGUCCCCAGAUGGCCAUAAGGAGAACUUGGUGGUGUAUUUAUGUGACGGCUGUACCAUAAAAAUGGAUCAGUAAAUGCUUCAAGCGGAGAGCUUGGCUUGAGCUGAGUCCCAUGACCUGACACGAGCUGGAGCUGAGGAGGGAUUUCAGAAGCUGAACAAUGCAUUUCCAGGAGGGCAAGGGAGAACAGGAAUUAGGGAUAAUGCAAAAGAAAACCUGAGACCUGCACGGUACCAGGAACAAGGCUCAGUCCAACCUUUCCUCCGUGAAGGGGCCCGAGGAUCCAGAGUCCGUGGGCGACACGUCCCCGUGCCUGCUCCUGCGCUCACAGUCAUGCGUGGAGCUCAGCUGGUGCUGGAGCUGCCACUGGCCAACUUCUUCUCACCAAGUCCGGGAUGCUUGCAAGGGAAGAGCCAUGAAGAAACCCAAACCUUGCUUCCAACCUGCUCUUUUGACAUUGUGAAAUGCCUCCGUACAUUUGCCAGCAGUGCAGAACUGCUUGCCUAGCCCUGAUAUAUAGGGGACAUUUAGGCAGAAUGGAGAUCGAUAACUGGACAACGUGAACAAAAUGGACAAAAUCCUUUUAUCUGAUGUCCGUAGGGAAUGUUCAAGCCAUGGAGGAAAUGCAUGGUGGGUGGAAUGAAGUGUUUUCAUCGGACCCAUUUUCUGUUCAGAAAUGGUCUAGUUUGAGAAAAAUUACUUUGGUCCAGACCAUCUGAAUUCGUUAUUAUCACUAACUUUGGAGGUUGCAGUCAUGGGCCACUGUGCUUGGAGCUGCACAAAAGACUGUUGUCGAUGCCAUGUCCAGCUGAGAAUUUCAUGAAGAAAAUCUGCACUUUUAAAAUCAGCUAAUCAGCAGACUAGCUAAAGAAGUAGUUACUUCCUUUGGAUCCCAACAAUGCCAGCACAUUGCACAGCAAAGCAUGUAAAAGAAGUAGCAUGCAACAUUAAGUGAUAUAAGUGAAUAUGCCAUUAAAGAACCAAAGGGCUAUUUUUUUCUAAAUCUGUCAUUUAAAAAAAAAAAAAAGACACCUCAUUUCAACUUGUCCAAAAGCUGCUAAACCAAUUUAACACAUUGCUGUUUACUUCUGAAAGAGGUUGAGAGCUUAUCUUAUCUCCUCCUACCACUGUUCGAGGCUAAUCACAAUAUAUUAAUGCAUUCACAGUAUGAAAAUCUCUUUUCCAUUGGAAUAAACCAGUAAAAUGAACUUAGAGAUUUCUACAAACUCUGGUUACCAAAGACCUAUUCUUUUUCUUGUCUGAAGUGCAGAAGGUGGCUAAGAGAUCGGAAGUGAUGAAGGAACAGUGAAGCACUGGAUCACCCAAGCUCCUAUUCCUGGCA